rnacentral:rRNA from 1 species
GAUGAACGCUAGCGACAGGCUUAACACAUGCAAGUCGAGGGGCAGCACGGGAGUAGCAAUACAACUGGUGGCGACCGGCGCACGGGUGAGUAACGCGUAUGCAACCUACCUAUCAGAGGGGAAUAACCCGGCGAAAGUCGGACUAAUACCGCAUAAAACAGGGGCACCGCAUGGUGAUAUUUGUUAAAGAGAUUCGCUGAUAGAUGGGCAUGCGUUCCAUUAGGUAGUUGGUGAGGUAACGGCUCACCAAGCCGACGAUGGAUAGGGGAACUGAGAGGUUGGUCCCCCACACUGGUACUGAGACACGGACCAGACUCCUACGGGAGGCAGCAGUGAGGAAUAUUGGUCAAUGGGCGGGAGCCUGAACCAGCCAAGUCGCGUGAAGGAAGAAGGAUCUAUGGUUCGUAAACUUCUUUUGCAGGGGAAUAAAGUGCAGGACGUGUCCUGUUUUGUAUGUACCCUGAGAAUAAGGAUCGGCUAACUCCGUGCCAGCAGCCGACGG